GCAUUGGUGGUUUGGUGUUAAAAUCCUCACCUUCCAUGCUGGAGACCUGGGUUCGAUUCCCAGACAAUGUA
rnacentral:tRNA from 1 species